CCGCCAGACUCCUACGGGAGGCAGCAGUGAGGAAUAUUGGUCAAUGGGCGCAAGCCUGAACCAGCCAGGUCGCGUGAGGGAAGACGGUCCUAUGGAUUGUAAACCUCUUUUGUCGGGGAGCAAAGCGCGGUACGAGUACCGCGAAGGAGAGUACCCGAAGAAAAAGCAUCGGCUAACUCCGUGCCAGCAGCCGCGGUAAUACGGAGGAUGCGAGCGUUAUCCGGAUUUAUUGGGUUUAAAGGGUGCGUAGGCGGACGCUUAAGUCAGCGGUAAAAUUGCGGGGCUCAACCUCGUCGAGCCGUUGAAACUGGGUGCCUUGAGUGGGCGAGAAGUACGCGGAAUGCGUGGUGUAGCGGUGAAAUGCAUAGAUAUCACGCAGAACUCCGAUUGCGAAGGCAGCGUACCGGCGCCCAACUGACGCUGAAGCACGAAGGCGUGGGUAUCGAACAGGAUUAGAUACCCCUGUAUUA
rnacentral:rRNA from 1 species